CCUACGGGAGGCAGCAGUCGAGAAUCAUUCACAAUGGGGGAAACCCUGAUGGUGCGACGCCGCGUGGGGGAAUGAAGGUCUUCGGAUUGUAAACCCCUGUCAUGUGGGAGCAAAUUAAAAAGAUAGUACCACAAGAGGAAGAGACGGCUAACUCUGGGCCAGCAGCCGCGGUAAUACAGAGGUCUCAAGCGUUGUUCGGAAUCACUGGGCGUAAAGCGUGCGUAGGCUGUUUCGUAAGUCGUGUGUGAAAGGCGCGGGCUCAACCCGCGGACGGCACAUGAUACUGCGAGACUAGAGUGAUGGAGGGGGAACCGGAAUUCUCGGUGUAGCAGUGAAAUGCGUAGAUAUCGAGAGGAACACUCGUGGCGAAGGCGGGUUCCUGGACAUUAACUGACGCUGAGGCACGAAGGCCAGGGGAGCGAAAGGGAUUAGAUACCCCAGUAGUC
rnacentral:rRNA from 1 species